UACGUAGGGUGCGAGCGUUAAUCGGAAUUACUGGGCGUAAAGCGUGCGCAGGCGGUUCGUUGUGUCUGAUGUGAAAGCCCCGGGCUUAACCUGGGAAUGGCAUUGGAAACUGGCGAGCUGGAGUGUGGCAGAGGGGGGUGGAAUUCCGCGUGUAGCAGUGAAAUGCGUAGAGAUGCGGAGGAACACCGAUGGCGAAGGCGGCCCUCUGGACGGUGACUGACGCUGAGACGCGAAAGCGUGGGGAGCAAACAGG
rnacentral:rRNA from 1 species